rnacentral:rRNA from 1 species
AUUGAACGCUGGCGGCAUGCCUUACACAUGCAAGUCGAACGGUAACAGGUCUUCGGAUGCUGACGAGUGGCGAACGGGUGAGUAAUACAUCGGAACGUGCCCGAUCGUGGGGGAUAACGGAGCGAAAGCUUUGCUAAUACCGCAUACGAUCUACGGAUGAAAGCAGGGGACCGCAAGGCCUUGCGCGGACGGAGCGGCCGAUGGCAGAUUAGGUAGUUGGUGGGAUAAAAGCUUACCAAGCCGACGAUCUGUAGCUGGUCUGAGAGGACGACCAGCCACACUGGGACUGAGACACGGCCCAGACUCCUACGGGAGGCAGCAGUGGGGAAUUUUGGACAAUGGGCGAAAGCCUGAUCCAGCAAUGCCGCGUGCAGGAAGAAGGCCUUCGGGUUGUAAACUGCUUUUGUACGGAGCGAAAAGGCCCUUUCUAAUACAAGGGGCUCAUGACGGUACCGUAAGAAUAAGCACCGGCUAACUACGUGCCAGCCGCCGCAGUAAUAC